GACGAACGCUGGCGGCGUGCUUAACACAUGCAAGUCGAACGGAAAGGCCCUGCUUGCAGGGUACUCGAGUGGCGAACGGGUGAGUAACACGUGGGUGAUCUGCCCUGCACUUCGGGAUAAGCCUGGGAAACUGGGUCUAAUACCGGAUAGGAGCCAUUUUUAGUGUGAUGGUUGGAAAGUUUUUUCGGUGUAGGAUGAGCUCGCGGCCUAUCAGCUUGUUGGUGGGGUAAUGGCCUACCAAGGCGGCGACGGGUAGCCGGCCUGAGAGGGUGGACGGCCACAUUGGGACUGAGAUACGGCCCAGACUCCUACGGGAGGCAGCAGUGGGGAAUAUUGCACAAUGGGCGCAAGCCUGAUGCAGCGACGCCGCGUGGGGGAUGACGGCCUUCGGGUUGUAAACUCCUUUCGCUAGGGACGAAGCUUUUGUGACGGUACAUAGAUAAGAAGCACCGGCUAACUACGUG
rnacentral:rRNA from 1 species